AGAGUUUGAUCAUGGCUCAGAUUGAACGCUGGCGGUAGGCUUAACACAUGCAAGUCGUGCGAGAAAAUAUCUUCGGAUAUGAGUAAAGCGGCGGACGGGUGAGUAACGCGUAGGAAUCUACCUAGUAGAAGGGGAUAGCCCGAGGAAACUCGGAUUAAUACCGUAUACCUCCUUUGGGAGAAAGAGGGCCUCUCUUUGAAGCUUUCGCUAUUAGAUGAGCCUGCGUAAGAUUAGCUUGUUGGUGAGGUAAAGGCUCACCAAGGCAACGAUCUUUAGCGGGUCUGAGAGGACGAUCCGCCACAUUGGGACUGAGACACGGCCCAGACUCCUACGGGAGGCAGCAGUGGGGAAUAUUGGACAAUGGGCGCAAGCCUGAUCCAGCCAUACCGCGUGUGUGAAGAAGGCCCUAGGGUUGUAAAGCACUUUAAGUUGGGAAGAAAAGUUAUUGGUUAAUACCCAAUAACCGUGACAUUACCAUCAGAAUAAGGACCGGCUAAUUCCGUGCCAGCAGCCGCGGUAAUACGGAAGGUCCAAGCGUUAAUCGGAAUUACUGGGCGUAAAGCGCGCGUAGGUGGUUUAUUAAGUUGGAUGUGAAAUCCCCGGGCUCAACCUGGGAACUGCAUCCAAAACUGAUUCACUAGAGUACGAUAGAGGGAGGUAGAAUUCACAGUGUAGCGGUGGAAUGCGUAGAUAUUGUGAAGAAUACCAAUGGCGAAGGCAGCCUCCUGGAUCUGUACUGACACUGAGGUGCGAAAGCGUGGGUAGCGAACAGGAUUAGAUACCCUGGUAGUCCACGC
rnacentral:rRNA from 1 species